UACGGGGGGGGCAAGCGUUGUUCGGAAUUACUGGGCGUAAAGGGCUCGUAGGCGGCCAACUAAGUCGGACGUGAAAUCCCCAGGCUCAACCUGGGAACUGCGUCCGAUACUGGAUGGCUUGAAUCCGGGAGAGGGAUGCAGAAUUCCAGGUGUAGCGGUGAAAUGCGUAGAUAUCUGGAGGAACACCGGUGGCGAAGGCGGCAUUCUGGACCAAUACUGACGCUGAGGAGCGAAAGCCAGGGGAGCAAACGGG
rnacentral:rRNA from 1 species